rnacentral:tRNA from 1 species
GCCUGGAUAGCUCAAUUGGCUAGAGCAUGAUGAACAAGUAUGUACAAACCAGGUUUUGACAUCUUAAAGUUGUGGGUUCAAGUCCCAUUCCAGUCA